rnacentral:rRNA from 1 species
GACGAACGCUGGCGGCGUGCUUAACACAUGCAAGUCGAACGGAAAGGCCCUGCUUUUGUGGGGUGCUCGAGUGGCGAACGGGUGAGUAACACGUGAGUAACCUGCCCUUGACUUUGGGAUAACUUCAGGAAACUGGGGCUAAUACCGGAUAGGAGCUCCUGCUGCAUGGUGGGGGGUGGAAAGUUUCGGCGGUUGGGGAUGGACUCGCGGCUUAUGAGCUUGUUGGUGGGGUAGUGGCUUACCAAGGCUUUGACGGGUAGCCGGCCUGAGAGGGUGACCGGCCACAUUGGGACUGAGAUACGGCCCAGACUCCUACGGGAGGGAGCAGUGGGGAAUAGUGCACAAUGGGCGGAAGCCUGAUGCAGCAACGCCGCGUGCGGGAUGACGGCCUUCGGGUUGUAAACCGCUUUCGCCUGUGACGAAGCGUGAGUGACGGUAAUGGGUAAAGAAGCACCGGCUAACUACGUG